CCCCACUUCCGGGCGCCGGCCGCCGGGCUGCGCGGGACGGUGUUCUGAGGGCGGCCGGGUAGGCGAUGUGGCCUGGCCAGUGAUUCUCCGGAGGCCUUGCUGUUGUUACAAACGUGAUAGGAGUUGUGUUAGGAGUAGCUGUUCAGCAAUUCGGUAAUGCAGUGUCAGCUGGGGACCUCUCAUGCGGGUUCGGUUGGAAGUCAGCUCUGAAGUUUCUACUGGACUGAGCACCUGUGAGCCACUUAUCGCCGGAGCUGAUGCUGGCUGCGCCACUUCGCGUGGACUGUCCACUACCCCUGUGUCAGGAUAGCCAGCAAGUUAACAUGGUGCUUUGGAGCAAGUCUCCUGGGAGAGCUGGGCGGAGUUUUUGGAGCCUGUAAGGGUUUUUCAGCUCUAUCCUUGGAAGUCAAGUGGAAUCACUUCUGCUGUGUUCUGUUGUUUGAAGCAGCCCCAAGUCUGGCCACACUCAAGGGGACGUGACACAGACCGCAUCUCUUCAUGGGAUGAGUACAAGGAACUGUGGGCAAUAUCUUAAAACUGCCUCAACUGCUAUGGAAGUGUACUUUCCGUGAGAUAAAAGGCACAGAUCUUAGGAGCGGUAAGUGAACUCUGACAGUUGUAGACCCAUGCAGGUGCCACCGGAAGUAAGAGAUAGCACAUGUUCUCACCCUAGAGUUCCCUUGUAUCCCUUUCCAGUCAAUCCUUGUUUCUUUUUCCUGUCCUGUGGAAUUAUAUGAAUGGAAUCACAUAUUCGUGUGUAUCUGGAUUCUUUCACUGUAACUAAGGCUUUGAGAUUCACCCACAAUGUCGCAAAUUUGUCAGUUGUUAUUUUUUAUUGCCAAGCUGUACUUCAUUGUGUGAAUAUAACACAACUUGUUUAUCCCUUA